UUCCUUGAUUCCUAUUUAACCAGCAUAUCCUUGAGAGUCAUUUUUCCUUAGUCGGGUAAGACUUGCGAAAGUACACUCCGUACUCAGGGUUUUCGAACCCAUGUUGUUGUAGGUAAUGAGGAGUACUCUAUGUGUUCGUGAGGCUGGAGAGCGUUUCCAGUUCUAGAGGAGGACUAGCUAGGUUUAUGUAUAAGCUUUGGAGGGUUUCUACCUUCCUGCUUUUGUAAUAAGUUAUGCACUUUGAGUAUAUCAGGACUUGUAAUAAAUAUUACUCUUUCGAAACAUGUAAAACUUGAGUUUUGAAAAGGUAAAGAAUGUUUGUAAAGUCUUCCGCUCUUUAUCUCCGAAGUGUGUGUAUCGAAUGUGAUUACUGUAAUAUGCAUGUAUGGUGGGAGAUCCUUGGGAUGAUGAGUUCAAGUGGUUGAACUCGUGAUAGCCUUGUUAAGUUACCUGGUACACGUGCAUAGCCAUCUGAGGCCAUCAAGGCAAGGAUUGGUGCAUGUGGGCCUGAUAACUUGGGAGGGCUGUCACAGAUUGGUAUCGGAGCGAUCCCCCAUUAGCAUGGAUAUUAAAGUAAUCCUUUGAUAGACUUUAAAAGGAUUUUGAGUCCAAACUAUUUUGGAAAAACUUAAGAAUCUAUGAUCGAAUCCUGAUAGUCGAAGUGAAAAUAGUAUAUGAUUAAGUUAAGGACUAUAAGGUGGCUUAGUUUAGGAUGCUAACCACUAACCCACAACUAUAAUGCAGUUUUUUUGCAGGUACACUAACUAAACAAUAGGAAAGUGCGACUAGUAUUCAAUGACGGAGUGAGUAGGUAUGCCACCGCCAUAAAACGUGAUAGCCACUAUAUGUUGGCAAGAGUUGCAAGGACGAAUAGGACGAGCAUGCAUCAUGUCAUACAACUUUAAGUUAAACCCCCUGUGUAGCUAUUUUAGUAUGUGUUUCAUAUACCCUGUUCAUACAUCUUUAGUGAAUAGAGUGUAUCUAUUGCUCUUCUCUAUAGAUGAAUCAACAAGAAGCGCCUACAGGAGUUGGAGAGUUUCUACGAGAUUUCGGUGUUCCUAUGGUCCUGUGGCGACUACUUCAAGAAGUUGGAUAUACCGAAGCACCCAAGUACCAAUGGUCACGCACUAUUCUUAGAGGACAACCAUGGUAUGAGGUAUUAGUGCGUAUUCCAGAACGUGCUAGAAAACCAUCUUGGCCACAAUGGAUGUUCCAUGCUGAAGGAAUGACUCCUUGGGAAGGUGCUCAGGUAGCUGCCUUAGAGGUGUUGACAACAAUAUGUUACCAAAAGUGGGAACAAAUACAGGCCACGUCUAUGAGAUUGUUCCCUGCAGUUGCCUUAAGUGACCCAGUUGUGUAUCAUCACGAGGCCCGAUUAAUGGAAAGCAUUCCCAUUGGGCAGGAUUCUGUUGAAUCGGCAUCUGCUCGAGUUUUGAUGGUUGUGCUAGAGUUGCAGCUUACUCGAGGGCACAGUCGUCAAAUGUGGCAGCAGUUAUACACUGGAAGUUAUGCAACAUUUAAGAUGAUGGAAAUGGCCAAGAAUAGGGCUUAUACUCAGGCACAAGAACGGCUUGAAGAAACAAAGAUUCAAGCUGAGCGAAUUGUUGGACUAGAGCAUCAGGUGACAGAACUUCAGACGCAACACCAAGCUGAUCAGAAUCGCAUUAAGGAGCUUGAGCAUCAGCUAACUAAUGCUCAUUCUAAAUCAAAAGUUUUGAGUCAGCAACAAGAAGAAACUCACUCGUAUGCUGUUACUGUUAGGGAAGAACUUAAGGAAACCAUGGGCUUCCUAGGUCAGCAGGAUCAGGUACUUGAGGAGUUGCAUCGUACCUAUCCGAUGGAAUUUCAAACAGCGCAGCGACUGAUCAACCAUCUGCAACAAACGGUGCAUAUGCUCAAUGUUGCCUUUUAUUCUGCCCCAACACCAAUGGACUAAAAGGUACCUAUGGGGCAUGGAAACAGACAUCUAGCAGAUGUGAUAACCGGAGAAGACAUAGCAGGCAACUUAAUCCUCGUUAGGCAAUAUACCUAUGUAAAUUAGUUUUGAAAGGUAGAUGUAAGGUAGACCCGUAUGGCAAUGUUAGCUAGUAAAAACAGGUUAAACUUUGUUGUAAAGAGUUUUUCCUGUUUCACCUGGAUCAAGUAACCUGUGAGUUUGCCUAUGGCUAUGGUGUAAGAAAGAACUGCCUGUUUCAGAGGCAACUGUUAAUAUCUAUAGCCGUUUGUCGAAUUCCAAGAGUUAGAAUGGCUAUUCCUUUGGAUAUUCCCUGUGAAUGCACGUGUAUGGAUAAAUGACUUGGCACACGCUGGUACCAUAGUUUCUGGUUGUGUUUCGUGAUGAGAUGAUACCAUCGUGAUUUCCCAUGUGAGUCUGUUGAACAAGAAAUGGAAAAAUGGAUAAACGUUAUCCAAAACAAAUUAGAUGCAACAUCUUGAGUAAAACACGCAGAAAGUGAUUUAUCGCCGAGUCAUCAUUGGAAGUUCGUAGCACCGGAGACGAGUGCAAAUGUCGAGCGACAUCGUGGUUAACUCGUGGUUAAGCGAAACAGAACACCUCCCCUGCCUUGUAAGAGAAAUUAGGAAAUAAGUCAGUGACGUGUUUCCUUUUCCAUUACUAAGUCUAGAUUUUUAAAUCUCGGGACGAGAUUUCUUUUUAGGGGGGAAGGCUGUAACACCCCUAGUGUUACGUGAACUAAAACUCUGACAUGUCAUCAUAAGCAUUUGCAUUAACUUGCUUUUUACACCUAGAAUGCAUUCACUAGAUCAAAAUUUUACAAUAAGGUGAUGUGGUGUGUUGAGUAUAGGACUUAGGUUGAAAAACUUGCUUGGAAUUAUGGAUAAAAAAAAAUAAUUCCUAAACCGAGGACUUGUUGGGAAUGAGCUGCAUAUACUAAAGUUGGAUCUUAGACUAGAGAGUAACUUUGUUUUUGAUGGAUGGAUCAAAGGGAUGAAUCCCUGGAAGAAGCUGAAAAACAGAUGAAACUCAUUUGAAACCCGAAACUAACCCCAAAUGUGGAAUAUAAAAUCUAGAAGAAUUUAGCUAAAAGUCCAUAUACCAAGGUUGUAGAACUUGGAAAAGUGAACAAAUUUCAUAUCUGGAGAAUUCCAAGUUGUGUGGAGAAAUUUGGAGUAAUUUGCAACAUUUCAGCUUGGGUUCAGUUUGAAUUGGGCUGAAAACAGUUUCAUAUAGCUGUUUUUGGACCCUUAUAACUUUUGAUCUAUGGACUUUUGGUAAGGAGUUGCUAUAACAAAUUGUAGAGUAAUUGUUGGAGCACAAUCCCUUUUAAGUGUACUAGCCCUGAAACUACAUGAUACCAGGAGCAAAGGUGGUCCAAAGAUGGGAUGCUAGGUAUUGUGUUUUCAGACUUAGCUGAAUCAUUGCAGCUGAGUUUUAGUGAGAUUUGUGCAGUUUUGGAGCUCUCUAUUGCUCUAUCCAUAGGGUUAUAGGUUAUGAUCAUUAAAACAAAAUUAUAAAGCUACAUGAGGAGUAUAAUUUUGAUUAAGUCUCCUAGCCCUAAAGAUAUUCGAAACUUGGAGUAAAACUGGUCCAAAAUAGAGCUGUCAGAGAUUGUCAAAUUCAGACUUUUGGAGUAAAUUCAGAUUCAGAAUUUCUGUGUUUGAUGCCAACUUUGGGCUGUGAUAGAUUGUAAUCCAAAAGGGUUUAGCUAACAGUCACUAUGUAAAACCUGUAGAGGAACUAUUGGAGUAUAAAUUUUAAUAAGCAACUUGCCCCUAAAACCAUAUGCUACUAGGAGUAAAGGUGGUUCAAAGUGGUGUGGGCUGAAUUCUGAAUUUUCAGAUUUAGAAUAGUGCCUAAGUCUGAAUUUCAGUGAUUGUAACAGACUUUGGAGCUUCCUUGUGCAUAAUCCAUAAGGUUUUGAACUAUGGUUUCUAUAGAGGAGUUGAAGGCCAUAAGUUGGGGUACAAAUGUAUUUAAUGGUGAUGGAUAUGAUCCUACACAAAAAGUGGAGUAAAACUUGCUCAAAGUUGGACUGCCUUGUGACUGAAACUGAAUUUUUCUCAGUUCACUAAAAACUGAAAAUUAGUGUUUGGUGCCAGUUUGAUGUCCUUUUGUGACUAAAUCAUGGGGUGUUGGACUAAGAACUAUAUAGAAAAGUUGGAGCCCAUAAUACAGAGAAUAUGUUUUAUAAAUAGGGGUGGACUUGGUUCUACAUAAAAGUGAGAGUAAAACACCUCUAAACUCUCUGUCAGACAAAUGUGUGCUGAAUUUGGAGUAGCCAGCUGAAACCCAGUUUUAGUACUCUGUUGGUCGACUUGGGUCCUUAUUAACACAGAGUUUGUGGAGCUUUAGUUAGCAAUCAUUAAUGGAAAGAUGGGGAGUGAAGGCAAUUGAAUAGUUCCUAGUAAGGAAGUAUGUUGAGUCAUUGUGUGGAAGUGAGAGAAAAUUUGUAAUGAAAAUCUCAUGUUCAGGUGUAUGGCUGUUAUCUGAAUUCAAUUUCAGGGAUAGAUAGGCAGUGAGCUUCCUCCCCCUUGAUCCAUUUUUAUUGCUUAAAUUGUUUUUUAGGUUGGUCCCUGAGGCAAAGUGUAAGAGUGUGAUUUGGAGAACAAUGGUACCGAAUUAAAGUGAACCUGGGGUUACACGAAUAUGGGAGUAAAGUGCCCUCCAAUGUGUGCUGUCAGUCUGCGCUAUGCCCUAAGAAUCUAAUUCAGUGUUGACAGCCUAACUUCAGAGCUCUGAUGUGCUAAAUCCGUGGAGUCGUUACCCCUAAUCUCUAUAGUAGAGUUGUAGAGCAUACAUUAAUGUGCAACUUUGGUUAAGGAGUCUUGGUUUGUUGCCAUAUGAAAUGAGGGGAUAAAGGGGCAUGAUCAGGUAGUGUUCAGAUGGGCAGUAGGGUGUGAAUUCAGUUUGGGCAAGUCUGAAGUUGAAAAAUAAAAGGGUCUUUUCUCCUCCCUGCUGUCUUCCACUCAUGCUGUCCAAGUUGGAAUAAGGAUGCGUGUGGCUUGAGAUAAAUCAGAGAUGGACUUGGGAAUUUCUAGAGCUGAGUUCAAAGUGUUUCAAACUGUAAAUAUCACAGACUUCAUAGUUAUCCUUAGUGAACCCCCCUUGCCUGCUUGUUUCGGUCAAUGGUGCUGCCCCUUCUACGUGUCUCAGUAUUGUCGUGAUAUUGGUCCUGCGUGGGGCUCAUGCAAAGACCAUACGUGUCCUAGCUCAUGCCUCUGCUGGUGCAGCCAGGGCUCACCGCAGCACGUGGAGCAAGUGUCUUGUAGCCUUUCCUUGUCCUGCUUAUUGUGAUAUCUCUCGGCUUGGAGCCAUUCCUCUAGCGUCAGCAGCCGUGAUACAAACUAGUCGUGUGUGCUUUCAGCUGUGUUUACAUCGCGCGAUUGAUCGUGGUCCUGCUCAGUGCAAAGUAGAGGUAGUUGUUUGUUAUCUUCCCCACCACUGGUGACCACGCCGGCUGAUUCUAAACUCCGCCGUGACCAAGGAUUCAUAAGGUAUUUCGUUUUCGUCUUAGGUGUGUUCCUGGAUCGUUUAGUGCCCGUGGUGCUCACAGAGUCCUCCCUUUGAGCUCUACUGCUGUUAGUGGUCAGGAACAGGGUCUCGCCGCCGCAAAACGUUGUUGCAGACCGCUUCACCGUCGACCCUUUGAACUGCAUCAUCCCCGACCAAUCUCGCGCGCGUACGGUGAACUUCGAAGGUCAGUGAUACUCUCUGCACACCUAAUUUGAACUCUACCGCAUGGAAGCUAUGGGAUCGAGCUUGCCGGACCCGCUGUUCCACCGUCGCCGUCGGUAACUAUGCUCCAGUGUCCCCGCGACCGAAUUAAACACAUAUCUGAGUUCACCUUGGGUCUGAGGUUGUGUCGAUGCCCUCGCCGUCGUUGGUGAUGCGCCACCAUGGUCGAUCUGGCGCAGACCGCCGGAGUUCUGCGCGGCGUCGUCGUGGCUGAAACUUUAUAAAAGAGUGGAAUUCGAGGGGCUUAAGUGAAUCUGUCAUUGAGUAACAUCAAUAGUGACAAGGGCCGAUGUGGAUUAGUUUGAGAGCGAAGGUCAUUUUUGCAAGAUGUGUGGUGCGGGCGCGGUCUGUUUGUUGUGGGCCAACUCUGCCUGUUACUGGGUCGGCUGAGCUAGGUUUCGACCCAGUACUGUACUCAGUUUUGCCAUUUCUUUUAUCAGCAAACUUGUGAAUUGAGCUAAAAAUCAUAGAAAAUUGAUAAAUUAAUUGGACAAAUUUUGUUGGAUAUCUAAUUUCAUGAGCUAUUUGGUAAAGUUGGUUUUAGGAUUUUUGACUAGUUAGAAAAUUCUAAGUGAAUUUAAGGUGCUCUUGGAAGGCCUAUAUUAAUUUUAUAAAUAAGAGGGUAACACAAAAAAAAAUUAGAAAUUUUUGGAGAGACUUGUUAUCCAAAUAUGAACUUUUGGGCAAAGUUUGGAUAUGAUUUGCUUAGCAAAAUAAUUGUUGCCCAAAAAAGAAAAGGAUUGCACCUAUGAAAUGAGGACACCUAGUAGUUAAGUGAAGAGAUGAAGUUGCUUAAGAAGUUUUAAGCUUUUGGAUGAGAUAUAAGUUGGAUUAGUUCCCUGGUUUACCUAAGUGAAUUCUAAUUGGCCACUUUUAUCAAGUGCUAGGUUGUGUAGAAGUAUGGUAUACUUGUCAUGUGCUUAUUCAGGAGUGUUUAUGUUCCCCACCUCUCCUUGUGAGAGUUUGCAUUUCAUAUCAUUACAUAAGCAUACAUGUAUUUGUAAUUGACUUGUAGAACACCUAGAAGAAGUGGUGUUUGAAGGAGUCUACUCCAGUGGCUGCUGAUCAAGUGGAGGAGCCAUCUAACUCUGUAUUGGAUAGAGGGAUCUAGAGCCUCUUCACUGCAACAAAGGCAAGCCCCGGUGCAUUUACCCCUUUCCUUAUAUUUUUAAAAGACUUUUAUACACUUUAAGUCUAGUGAAAUGUGCAUUAAGUUUAUAGGAGUUGCUUGAAAACUAUUUGAUGCAUUGACUACCUUGAUAUCGAUUCCUGUUAUAGAUACUUCUUUGGAAGUAUCAAAUAUUGUUUACAAAAAUGCUUAGCCCUGCUUAGAUCUUGUGGAUAGAAGUUGUCUUUUGCAAUAAUGCCUAGCUCAGGGGUUGUCCUGAGGAAGGAUGGCUUCUACCUGUAAGAAUAUUUUCAUUGGGAGCAUGGUGGGAUCUUACUGCAAAGUUCCCUGUAAUGCUCUUCUCAUCCUAAGGAACACAAAACAAUCCUAAGGAUAGAAGUACUUAAAUCGAGACUUGGGCUAGGAACAGGUGAUGCUCCACCCAGGUCAAUUAAGGAUUGGAUGCGUAUGUAGGCCUGUAUGAUCAAGGACUAUCUUAACUGGCCACAUGCCCUGGAUAUGGGACAGGGUAAGCUUGAACCCGGCUAUUCCAUACGUGAAAAGACAACCGCGCACUGGGCGUGGGAGAUGGUGGGAGUAGUGUGUACCCUCCUGGCUGGAGGCUGGAUGGAGGAGUACUGUGCUCCCGGGUAGCGCGGACCGGUUCACGUUGUGGAGGAUCUGUGGGAACGGUUGACAUAUGCAAGGGUUAAGUGCUACAUAUGUCGUGUGGUUAGAGAUCCUCAGCUGAGCAAAUCGAUUCGGAUCGCCGUUAUAUCCCCGAAGAGUGGAGACUUGAUCGCUGCCCUGCAACCUAAGUCAGGAUGUGAACAUUAUGAAUAAAAAUGAUGUUGUAUUAAUGAGAUGGUGAAAUUAGACUAGAUGCAACCAGAGUCUAUUAAUAUUUAAUCUGGCGUUAAAAUAUUGAAAGUAAGGACUCACUUUAGUAAGCUAUUUCUGCAAAAGUAUAUAAGUUGAUUCUUGCUAAAGCCUUUUCCUUGAUUCCUAUUUAACCAGCAUAUCCUUGAGAGUCAUUUUUCCUUAGUCGGGUAAGACUUGCGAAAGUACACUCCGUACUCAGGGUUUUCGAACCCAUGUUGUUGUAGGUAAUGAGGAGUACUCUAUGUGUUCGUGAGGCUGGAGAGCGUUUCCAGUUCUAGAGGAGGACUAGCUAGGUUUAUGUAUAAGCUUUGGAGGGUUUCUACCUUCCUGCUUUUGUAAUAAGUUAUGCACUUUGAGUAUAUCAGGACUUGUAAUAAAUAUUACUCUUUCGAAACAUGUAAAACUUGAGUUUUGAAAAGGUAAAGAAUGUUUGUAAAG
rnacentral:lncRNA from 1 species